AUUGAACGCUAGCGGCAUGCCUUACACAUGCAAGUCGAACGAGUGGCUGACGGGUGAGUCAUAUCUGGGAACCUGCCUAGUAGCGGGGGAUAACUACUCGAAACGGUGGCUAAUACCGCAUACCAUUCGAUUUGCCCAUAUGGGAUUAGCUAGUUGGUGGGGUAACGGCUCACCAAGGCAACGAUCCGUAGCUGGUCUGAGAGGAUGACCAGCCACACUGGGACUGAGACACGGGCCAGACUCCUACGGGAGGCAGCAGUGGGGAAUUUUGAAAAAUGGGAGAAAGCCUGAUGCAGCAAUGCCGCGUGUAUGAUGAAGGCCUUCGGGUUGUAAAGUACUUUAAGAAGGGAGGCGGUAUCUGCAGAAGAAGCACCGGCUAACUACGUGCCAGCAGCCGCGGUAAUAC
rnacentral:rRNA from 1 species